CCCAAUUGUUAAGUUUAAACUGUUUAGGGGUCAAAGUGAAUAUUUCCAUCGAAACGGCACCGUUGCUGGGGAACAGUCGUGCAUCUUCUUCAUUCCGAUUCAACAGGGAAGCUGGAAAAUCGGCAGCAAAGCCGACCCAAUCGUGACCACGUUCUCUGCCCACAAUCCCGUUCGUGGAGGGAUAACAGUCCUGCAAAGCCAGGACUGGUUUGAGGGGCAAGCUCUUUGGGCCUUAUAAAAGGCAGAGCAGAGCAGAAGGAAAGGGGGAACCCAAAAACAGAGAAAACGAGAGCAAAAACAGAGAGCAGAAAUACAAAGCAAAAAACCAAAACACAGAAAAGAGAAGGAAAAGUAAAGGAGCAGGACAGAUAGGAGUAUUGGCUUAGCCAUUGCUUUUGUCCUUGCAGACAAAGGAAAGACCCGGAAUCAGUCAGAGAAAACCGGUAUACUCAUUACCUUCUUAGUUCGUUCAUCUCAAGAACUGAGCAAACAAAAGAAGAGAGGACCGUGGGCACAGCGGGAAAUAAAGAAAGCAAAAGAAAAGAAACAGAAGCAAGAGGAGGCAGUGUCGUCGUCCAGCACAGUGCGCCAUCGUUUUCAGCUACGCCUCGCCAGCAGCCCUGUCAUCUUGGUAUUGAAGCUGAGUUCCAUCCUUCAUAGAUCAUCACUAGUUAAUCAGGAACUCGGAUAUUCCUUUUGAAGUCAAAUAAUCAAGAACAAUUGGGGGGUGUUUGUUCUGGUGGGACAAAAGGGAAAGACGCAAAGGACAAUUUUUUUUUUCUGUGAAAACAAUAUUUCCUUUUUUUUUUGUCGGUUUACGUAGCAUGUGCAAGAAAAAAGAGAAUUGAUUCUGGCAAACAACACUGCAGCGGUGCAGUUCCUGUGAAUUAAUAGUUUUUUUUUUUUUUUUUGCCCCCGAGAAAAAAAGGCAAACAUGGUGUUUACGCUCUUGUAUUGGUUGGUGAUUGUGGACUAGCAUGCUAGAGCUUCCAAUUUGCUCCAUGUAAACUGUAAAGUAAACAAGAGCCUACGUGUGCCCACCGAAUCUGAGGAAGCCUAAGUUGUUAUACUCGGCCUGUUCGGCGGCUGGUCUGGGAAAUACAGGAUUUAGAGCUGAUUUGGGUUAGGUUCUUAAUUAAGUCUAAUAAAAUAUUAAUUUGGUAAAACUCAAUUAAUGGUUUGCUUGAUUAAGUUAAAAUCAGUAAAAAUAGUCGACUUAUCUGAGUCGGUUAUCG